GUGCCAGCCGCCGCGGUUAUACCGGCAGCCCGAGUGAUGGCCGAUAUUAUUGGGCCUAAAGCGUCCGUAGCUGGCCGAACAAGUCCGUCGGGAAAUCCACGUGCUUAACACGUGGGCGACCGGCGGAAACUGUGUGGCUUGGAACCGGAAGGCUCAGAGAGUACGUCCGGGGUAGGAGUGAAAUCCCGUAAUCCCGGACGGACUACCGAUGGCGAAAGCACUCUGAGAAGACGGCUUCGACAGUGAGGGACGAAAGCUCGGGUCUCAGACCGGAUUAGAAACCCCUGUAGUCC
rnacentral:rRNA from 1 species